UUAAAAAGAAGAAGAAGAACAACAACAACAACAACAACAACAACAAAUAUCCAGGCUAAGAACCAGAAUUUUUCCAGUCUCUUAGAAAUCUGGGAGGUCCUCACCCUGACUUCUGUGAUGUGCUUUGUCUGGUUUGUUUAGUUUUAUCAUCCACGUGCAUGUUCUUAGAUGGCAGCUUGUUUAGUCUCGCCUGGUGGUGAACAUAGAAAUGGGAGCAUUUACUCUUCUUUGCAGACUUGCUUUUUUGCUCAGCAUUGAGAGAUUUGUCUACCCCAGCUCACGUGCAUGUGGCCCGUUCAUUUUCAUGGUUACACGGUAGCAUUUCAUUGUAAGACUGUAACACAGUCGAUCUAUUUUACUGUUGUGGACGUUGGGCUGUGUCUGUUUUUUUUCUUUUACAAACAAUGCUUCUAAAAUCAAUUUUGUCUAUGUUUCCUGAUGCACAGAUACGAGAGUUUUUUUGGGUUCACACUGGGGAGUGGAAUUGCUGGGUCAGAAGACGUGCAUUUGUUCCAUUUUCCUGGGUAAUACCAAAUUGUUUUCCAAAGUGGUUGCACCAACGUACAGCCUGUGAACAGGGAAUUUAAGUUCUCUUUGAUCUGGUUCCUUGCCAGCACUCUGUAUUAUCAGGCUUUUAAAUUUCUGCCAGUCUGAUCUGCAAUGUUAUCAUGGCCAGAUAGUAUCUGCUUACACAUAGGCCUAUGUCCAGGCUCUAUUUUAUUCAAUUGAUCUUUCUGUCAUCGGUUCCAUUCUAUGUCAUGAUCACAGACCCUUGCAACCACUGUCAAGAUCACUUCCUAAUGGACAAACACUCUCUGAGAGAAAGUCACAGGAUGUAAACUUUUGAGAAUUUCCAGACAUUCACCUAAUUGAUAGUUUUGCUGGGUACAGAAUUCUAGGUGGGAUUGAUUUUUUCUUCUGGGGUGCUGAAGGCAUUUUGUAGCCCCUUGUGACAGAUAAUAUCUCCCCAAAAUAGCCAGAGCAAUAUGUCUUGUCCCGCAGGCACUUCUAGAACCUGGUGACUGUCAAUUAAAAUACAGACACCAUUUCUUACCUCCUGAGCCUGGGGGACUGCACAGCUGUCUUGGCAAAUGUGGCAGGAGUGAGCUUGUAUGAUUUUCCAGGCCCCAUCAGAAAAGAUGAUACGGUUACUUCCUGGCUCUCUCUCAGGACACUCGGCCCUGGAAACCAGCGUCCGUGUGCUGAGGAAGUCCUGGCUACAUGGAGAGGCCAUGUGUGGGUGUUCUGGCUGGUAAACCCAGCUAAAACUUCAGCCGAGAAUUUGCGUCAAUUCCCAGCACUAUGAUGAGCAAUCUUUCAGAUCGUUUCAGCUCCCAGAUUUUGAAUCACCCCAGCUGAUGCCAAGUGGAGCAGAAGUGUACUAUCUCCACCAAGCCCUACUCAAAUUGAAGAUCUGUGAGCAAAAUAAAUGCGGUCAUUGUUUUAACCACUAAGUUUUGGGGUAUUUGUUAUGUAGCCAAUGCAACCGGAAUUCCUUUAUGUACGCCAGCUCCUGGCUAAGCAGGCCCUGAGGAUGCGAAGGUGAGUGGGCUGUUCCCUGAUUUACGGAGAUCAUAGUAUAUUCAAUUCAAUAUAAAAAAUUUUAAACUUAAUGCAAGAGAGCGUGAGUAACCCUCAUACCCCCCAGUGCCUUGACAUCCCCUCCUGUUUACAGCAGUGUACUUGGACUCAGCAGCGCAUUGCCUUACAGUAGAAGGCACAGUGGUAGGUCUGCUUCUCUGAGGAAGUUUGAUCAGAUUUUGCUGGUGACAAGGAGGUGACAAGAAGUUGGAGAGAGAUAGGCUGCAACCUUUUUGCCCAUGCUGGCCCCGUUUGCAGUGUGGUGGUCCCGAAUGCACCUCACCUCCGCCCACUCCAAGUCUGGCAUGAGCAAGCACAGCUCUUCCCUCCCAAGCAUGGACUGGAGCAGGGAUUUAGGAAAGGUCUGUUGAACUGGGCUAGAGAGCCAUGCUCCUAAGACUUCAGGAGGCACGUUUCGACCUAGGCGACGGGCAGAGAUGCUGGGCUCUGGAACACACCGCAGCUUAGCAAGAGCCAGAAAAGCAGUCGUUGCCCUGCAGUCACUCCUGACCCCAAUGGAGCAGAAGGGGGAGGUCACUUUAGGGAAGAGUGUGGCUGCUGUGACGGGAACUCUGGUGAGGCCAGAACGGGGCAGAGGGGCACAGGAAAUCCUCCCCCCUACUCCCACGUCCAGGAGCAUAUAAGGCACGAGCUGCUGACAGCAGGGACCUUCUCUGGCCUGGCUGUCGGUGGUGGGUUGGAGCCAGGCAGGUGCUGGUGCUUGGGCUGAGGUUUGAGAUGAGGCCUUGGAAUGACCCCUUGGGGUGGCCCCAGGCUGAGCAGUGUGACGUUAUUCCUUCAAUCAUUCAAGAAAGACUUAUUGAGCAUUCAUCACCAGCAGGCACAAUGGGAAUGCAGCAAAGAACAAAAGAAGCAAAAAUCCCUCCCCUCAAAGAGCUAACCUUCUCAGGGAGAGAAUGCACAAACGGCCCAACAGGCAGCAGGCCAGAUGGAGAAGAGGCAAUGGCCAGUUAAAAAGCCUGGUGAAGUGGGAAGCUGUUGGUGGGCUUUGGAGAGAGGAAGAUGUGUGCUGACUCAUGCUGUAGGAGGAUCGUGGCUGCUGCAUUGGGAAGAGACAGAAGCGUAGGGUCCCAGAAACAUUGGAGCAUGUUGCUGGGUGCUGGUCAUGAGACAGAGAAGCCAGGGAGGACUGCGGAGAUGAUUUUGGCCUGAGCGCCAGAAUAUCCCAGCAUGAUGCCCUUAACCGAAUGACACACCUGGGGGUGACACACCCAGGAUACCCGGGAAUGGACAGACCAAGAAGGAAAAUAUUCAGCUGUGGGUGAGCUGCCCUGUCCAGACCCGCAAGUGUCCCCUGCUCCCAGCCACGCCUCUGCCCUGGGCUGCCUGUGGCCCAGUAACAGAGGGGGCACGUCGCACAGCCAGCUCGGUGGCAUUCUGACCGGCGGAGUGGGCGGAUACUCUGAGCAUCGUUCCUGGCCUCGCUGCUGUGCGGAGCAGGGCCCGGCCCCAGGCCUGUGUGCCUUGACAUGUGCUCUCUCCACUCCACCCUGCUCCCUCCGCCACAGUUUUGCAUCUUGUGUUUUUCCCUGAGCCUUCAAAGAGGAAACAAAACCUUUUCCUUACAGGAACCCAGUCUGAUCCCUGGCUAGUCCUGAAGUUCCGCCACCUCCCUUACUUCCAAAGCUAUUUGCAUUUCCUCUGCCACUGCCUGGUCAAAGUCGGCACCAUCUCUCGCUUGGCUCCUCCGUGCACCCAUCAGUCUCAUGCCCUCUGCCGGGUGAUGGAGGCUGACGUUGCACCUCACUGGGUGCCCGAGUGGUUCGGCCAAUAGGAGGCACUGCAGGCAAUGGGACGGCCAGCCCCCGCCUUACCGCGCUGUCCUCCGGCUCCUCCUGGCCUCGGUGGGACUGCGCUGCCCCUCACGGGCCCCACCUCUGCCCAGAGCCCUGUCAUUGAUUCAGUAUCACCCGUUUGAGUGCAUUGUCUUGUCCCUCGGGGACACCGGGUGGACCCAUACAUCGCAGACACUCCCUUUUGCAUACAACAGCAGAACAGUCUUUAAAAAACCUCAAUCUGGUCCAGUCUCUCCCUCCCCGAACACUUCCGUGGACUCCCAUUGUUCUGAGAAUACAAACGCAAAUCUUUAUUACCAUCGACAAUAGAGUUGCGUCCCUCAGCGGGUCAGGAGGUUAAUUGCAUGGGUUGCAUUUCUUUCCUUUCUUUUUUCUGCCUCCGUUUAAUGACACGAGAGCAGAGUAGACAGUAGAAAACACCAGCGCUCACAGCAGGGAGCCCAGGUUGGGUGAUAGUAGGAGACUUUUGUUCUGGUAACAGGCAAGCUGGUUGAGCCAGAAGGUGAUGUCUCCCCGUGGGUUGUAGUGCCAAAUGUUGGAAUCCCGGGCCUUCCCUCAUCUCCUCUCCUGCUUCUGCCUCAUCCCCAUAUCUCCCUGGCUCCCAGCCUCAACUUCUUGUCAGUGCCUCAAACCCACAGGCUCUUUUCCACCGGGGCCUUUGGCAUUUGACGUUCCCUUGGCCUGGAUUGCCCUUCCCUUAGUUCUUACCAAGAAUUCCUUCUCACGGCAAUGUCGCCUCCUCAGAGAGGCCCUCUCGGGUUGGCCCACCUGCAGCAGCUUGCCUCUGUCUUGCCAUCAAGGGACGUUGGUGCAUUAGAAUCUCCAUGAGGGCAGAAAAAGCUGUUGGGUGAGUAUUAUUACCUGUUCCUAGCACUUACUCUCAUGAGUAGUUAUGAGGUCCAUUCCCUUGUCUCCUUGCUUAUCCCCACUAGAGUAGAAGCUCCCAGAAGGUAGGCCCUUGCCUCUUGCUAACUGCUGUAUCCCCAGACCACUGCAUGGCACACAGUAAGUGCUCAAUAAAUGCCUGCUAAAUGAGUGAGUGCAUGAACUGCUUCUGUAGCUGAGAACAGGGAGGUUUCAGGGAAGCAUAUCCCAGGAUGCCUUGUAUGUUUGACCACACUGGGUGGGGGCUGGGGCUGGGGUUCAGAGGAGUGGGUGCAGGUGGGGACGGCUGCGGGCCCUCGAGCCUCAGACCUCCGGCUCCUUGCCUGCCCUGGGCCAUGCUCGUGUCAGCGCUGACAGCUUGGAGGGUCUAACACCGCCCUGACCUGACAGCUGGCGCACCCUCCAGGUUCCUGCUCCAGGGGACAGGUCCCUUCAUGUGGCAGAAAGCUCAAGGACGUGCACCAGGAGAGCCUCUGGCCUGCGUCUGCCACUUGCAGGCUGUGUCAGCAGACACGUUCCUCUUUGCAGCCCAGCCCCUCAGCUGACAAAUCAAGAUGGGAGGUAAGACUUACCGUGAGGACUGAGUGAGGCAAUGCACUCUGCAGCCGGCCCGGCGCAAGACUGGGGCGCAGUUUGACCCCGACUUGGCAUACAUCAUUCCAAAUUGUGGGCGGAGUGGGUGCCCGCCAGUUUGGCCAGCUGGAGAAGGAGCAUCUUGUCCCGCGAUGGCUACCCAUUACAUGACGGUCGUGGUUCUUGAAAGGCCACGGACUGGGCCCCCUCCCUUGGUAGCUUCCCCCGAACCCUCUUGUGUGCAGCUCUGGGAGAGCUGAGCAAUGGGGCUUGGCCUCGCAGAGUUUUUCUCUUCUUGAAGGUGGGGGUUGUGUAAAAGGCCAGCACAGGACGGGAGAAAGCGCUUAAGCUGGGAAAGCGUGUGGGGAAGGACAGGCCUCCAGGGAUGGCCGGCCUUGACUGUUAAGACAGGGGAGGUCCUGAUCUCAGCACACACCCAUCCGAGGAAGCUCCAGCUGGCCUAAAGAAGCUAAUGAGAACAGGAACCAUGGCAGCACUAGAAGGGGAUGUGUCCCUAUGUAGCAAGACGAAAAUGUGCCUAAGCCGUAUGGAACCCUGAAAGAGAGGAGUUUGCUAAACAUGACACCAAAGGCUUCUAGAAUCCGUGACUGCAUUUGGUUACGUAAAUCUAAACAAAUCUUGCAACUCCAAGAACGGGGUUGGCCACAUCCAUGGUGCACAGAAUUCAAGCAAGAGAAAGAUCAGUAUUACCACACGAAGAAGAGGAUAAAACAGGCACUCUACAAAGACACACCAACCACCAGUGAGAUGUAAACAUAGGAAAAAAUUCAACUUCACCAAUGAUCCGAGAGAUACAAAUUCAAACAACAGCACUUUUUUUUUUAAUGAUUUUUUUAAAUUAUAUUAUGUUGGUCACCA